GACGAACGCUGGCGGCGUGCCUAAUACAUGCAAGUCGAACGCAGUGGGGACGGGUGAGUAACACGUGGGUAACCUCCCAUCAGAGGGGAUAACACUUGGAAACAGGUGCUAAAACCGAUACUGAUGGAUGGACCCGCGGUGCGUUAGCUCGUGGGUGGGGUAACGGCUCACAAAGGCCACGAUGCAUAGCCUACCUUGGAGGGUGAUCGGCAACACUUGGACGGAGACACGGCCCAGACUCCUACGGGAGGCAGCAGUAGGGAAUCUGCGGCAAUGGACGAAAGUCUGACCGAGCAACGCCGAGUGAGUGAAGAAGGUUGUCGGAUCGUAAAACUCUGUUGUUAGAGAAGCGGUAUCUAACCAGAAAGCCACGGCUAACUACGUGCCAGCAGCCGCGGGAAUAC
rnacentral:rRNA from 1 species